CAACUUUUUAAUGUAAUUUACUCUUUUAAUGUAUUUAUGAAUAGUUUAGGUUCUUAUAUACACACUAUUACUGUUAUCAGUAUUAUUAUUUUAUUUUAUUAUUACUUCUAUCAUGUCCUUUGAUUUUAAAUAAACCACAGUGGAAAUAAGUGUUCUCACUUUCUUGUGUCAUCCAUGUAUGUUUAUUAAUGUAUUUGCAAUCAUGUACUUACAUUGAACUUACUAAAUAAAAUCACAUGCACGCUUUUCAUAUAAAGAUGAUUUGCUGCCUCCUGCUGGAAUGGCUAGAAUGGCGUUUAGUAUACAUAAGCAUACUAAACGGCAAAUGUCAGCUCUCCACAGUUUGUGUAUGAUCAAAAUUGCACACACAUACACGCGCGCACAGCUUUUUGUCUUUUCUGCAAUUUGCUGUAAGCAGGUGCUCUUAAUUUGACUAAGCGACGGUGGCGGAAGACAUUAAAAGCAAUACAGCUUGAGUUUUGUUUGGUAACUCUGAGAUGGGGGAGAGUUCAUGUUUCAUUUGUUCAUCCCACCCAGGUCAUGCCGGGUCUUGCAUAUAAAACAACGGUGAUAGGUGGAGUCAUUGCCGCCAACAUGGUGACACCCAGAGCAGCAUUGUUUGAGCUUCAAAACAACUGUUCUGGGUCUCUUCAGAAAACCUAUUGGUGAAGUCAUGGAGGGUUUGUUCAGUAUACAUUCAGUCUGUGUCUGUAACCACCAUUUUGCUCUUGGACUUCCCUACAGGUGUUAAGUGUGAUUCUCCUUUUGAAUCCCACUGUUCAUUAAGAUCUGUGGCUUCUUCAUGUACAUGUGCAUUUGUUGAUAAGUUGAUGGAAAGUGAAUCAUCAAUCUUUGUUGCCAUUAUUAUACACUUAAACACACAAUAUUCUCUGUUGGUCAGUGUCUGUCAUUCACUGCAGUUUGUGCACACUCGCUGUGGCACAGUACAUGAACUAAUCAAAUCCUAUAAACAGUAGUGUUUCCAGUGCUCGUUAUUUGUCCUUUAUCAAUAUAGCAACAACUUCACUAAGGCCUCAGUUAAACUACAAUAAAAAUAGGACGCCAACCUCCUUGUGACCAGAAAAAAUGGUGGUUGCCUGGUGACUGCAGUGAAUAGAGUCGCUGCCAUGCGACUGAUUGCAAGAAGUUGCAACAAGCAGCUGGUCAUGUGAAGGUUGAGUACGCAGCACCCUCAACCUCAAUGUGACCAUGUUAGAUGACCGCGAUUGCACAAAUGACCACAGUCCAACUCGGCCUGAGUGUGAUCGCUGUCAGACAGAUUUGUGGCUGAAGCAAAUAAUCGCAUCUUGUUUAAUAAACAAGCACAUUGUCCACAUGCUGCAGUCAAUUGGAGUCAGCCUGCGGCCUCUCACCUAUAUUUAAACUAUAUAUAAACUUGAUUGUAAGAAAGGGAAGGAAAAGAGAUGGACAGCUCUAGUACUGAAAUGGUGACUUACAGUAGUGCGCUCCUUGUGAAAAGCAGGUGAUCUGUCCACCUGUCAUAUAUACAAAAACAGGCCUAAAUCAGACACAUUUUUAACCCAAAUGUUGCUGAAUAAAUUGACAACUGUGUUAUCCAUGUAUUAAUAUUGAACUAAACAGCAAACCUAUUUGCGCUGUUCCCCUAAUUGUCAGUCAUUUGCCUGAUUAAUACAUACAGAUGGCAUGUAAUUGCCAUCUGUAAUUUGGUUAUGGUUAGGGUAAGGGAGAGUAACACAGGGGUUCUGGGGAGGUUCUGAUUAGGGUUCGGGGAAGGGAGAGGGAGCGGGUUAAGUUAGGGGAAGGGGUAGAGUUAGAAAUGGCAAAAACCCAGUGACCCACUAAAAUGAGACGUGAUGAUGUAAUCGCGCUCGACCAAUCACAGCGUAUUCCAGGCCACUCGCAUUGUGAUCCGGACAAAUAGCCAAAGUAAGUCAUCUUCCGGUCACGGGAGAAUAUCCAUGGCUUUUUGUGUUUUUUUGUUUUCCUCUGACAGUGUAGACUUUGGUUUCUUUACUGGCUCUAUGAUAAUGUCUGCAUCAAAAAUAAGCAUAGCUCUCUAUUAUCUUUGGUCUAAAUGGAAAAUAAUGAGCUAGCUUCUAAUCCUAACUGCAGUUGUGCUGCUGGCUGAACUUAGUGUUGCCAGGUAUUGAGAUACCAAUAAGCAUACAGCUUCAAAACAAGCCUGUUAUGGCCUCAAGGUUAGCAUGUUAAGAAAAUAAACUGAAACAACUCUGAAUUUCAAAAGCAUUUAUUGUAAGGAAAAUCUUUACAUUCUCUCAUGCCUGGAAAAUAUGAGAGAUUGAAAAGGAGAAAAGCACAAGAGCACUCAAGGAAUUUUAAUCACAUAUUAAUGGCAAAAUAAAACAUAAGUAACCAUAUUUUUAAAUACAGGUCAAAAAAUCUGGCACUUGCAACCUGUUUUGUUUUGUCCCCUCUUUCCCAUACAACUUCAGAGAAACCCCCUUGAUUCUCUGCACCAAGAAAUGAACUCUAUCCCUAUAUAACACUCGUGCCCAACUAUUAUUCAUUUAAUGAUCAGUGACUGGUUUAAUUGCAUGCCCCCCUUAAAUGCCUACUUUAUCUACCCUUUUGUAGCUGGGCUUUAGGAUAAUGGAAUGCAGAUACUUGGCAUGUGCAUGAACAUAACCAACAGACCUGCAUGAAUGUCCUCAUUUUUACUUUGCAUUUUUCAGUCUACCCGUAUGGAUUGGAUUAACCAUUACAUUUAUUUGUACGGCUCUAUUUGUUCAGGACAAUAUCCAUUGUACAUUUAAAUAAUGAAUGGGAGCUUUAAAAACCAACCCGGGAUAGUGUUAUUGUAGUGCCUAGAACAGGUUGAGAUUGAACAGAUUGAUUCAUUGCAUCUCUCAGACCCAUGCAUGCAAAACUCACCUUGACCACCCAUCCCAAAAUUUACAAAAGCCUUUUUAUCAGUAACUUUAUUCUACCCUCCUUUUGCUCUUCUCUGGGUG